GAUCCGUUGGGGGGGACACAUACAGAACGUUGUCAGAACUUUUACUUAUUCU
rnacentral:rRNA from 1 species